GACGAACGCUGGCGGCGUGCUUAACACAUGCAAGUCGAACGGAAAGGCCCUGCUUGUGUGGGGUGCUCGAGUGGCGAACGGGUGAGUAACACGUGAGUAACCUGCCCUUGACUUUGGGAUAACUUCAGGAAACUGGGGCUAAUACCGGAUAGGAGCUCCUGCUGCAUGGUGGGGGUUGGAAAGUUUCGGCGGUUGGGGAUGGACGCGCGGCUUAUCAGCUUGUUGGGGGGGUAGUGGCUUACCAAGGCUUUGACGGGUAGCCGGCCUGAGAGGGUGACCGGCCACAUUGGGACUGAGAGACGGCCCAGACUCCUACGGGAGGCAGCAGGGGGGAAUAUUGCACAAUGGGCGGAAGCCUGAUGCAGCAACGCCGCGUGCGGGAUGACGGCCUUCGGGUUGUAAACCGCUUCCGCCUGUGACGAAGCGUGAGUGACGGUAAUGGGUAAAGAAGCACCGGCUAACUACGUG
rnacentral:rRNA from 1 species